AGUUUUACUUGUAGUUUUUACUGUAUUUUUUUGUAGUGUUUUAGGAUAGGAGUAGGCCCCCUGAAUAAAUCACCCCUUUUUAUUAGAUGUCCCCUACCCUUUCAUAGAAGUGUGUACCCCUGAUUAACGUUUCCCUCUUCCCCAGUAACAUGACCCCUUAGAACAAUAGCCCCUUUGAUAAGCCCCAUGUGCUCUGCCACCCUGUAAGACCACAAGCCCCUCAGUAGCAGACCAGCAGCAGAAAGGAGAGUUGGGUAUUUUAUUGAGCUCCUCUCUUUCCCCUAUUUCUUGGGUGUGCCCUGCGCUGUGGGUUUUGUUCUGCUCGAGUUUUGAUUUUCUGCCAGAAGUGUCUUUAAGGUCUAC